UACAGGGGGCCCGAGCGUUACUCGGAAUCACUGGGCUUAAAGGGUGCGUAGGCGGUCUCGUAAGCGUCUUGUGAAAUCCCCGGGCUCAACCCGGGAACUGCAGGGCGAACUGCGAGACUUGAGGAAACUAGAGGCCGGCGGAACGAUAGGUGGAGCGGUGGAAUGCGUAGAGAUCUAUCGGAACGCCAAAGGUGAAGACAGCCGGCUGGGGUUUUCCUGACGCUGAGGCACGAAAGCGUGGGUAGCAAAC
rnacentral:rRNA from 1 species